GACGUAGGGCGCGAGCGUUUGUCCGGGAUUUAUUAGGGCGUAAAGAGCUCGUUAGGCGGCUUGUCGCGUACGUCCGGUGAAAACCUCGGGGCUCAACUCCAGGCUUGCGGUCGGAUACGGGCAGGCUAGAGUUCGGGUAGGGGAGGAACUGGAAUUCCUGGUGUAGCGGUAGAAAUGCGCAGAUAUCAGGAGGAACACCGGUGGCGAAGGCGGGUCUCUGGGCCGAUACUGACGCUGAGGCACGAAAGCGUGGGGAUCAAACAGG
rnacentral:rRNA from 1 species